UACGUAGGGUGCAAGCGUUAAUCGGAAUUACUGGGCGUAAAGCGUGCGCAGGCGGUUAUGCAAGACAGAUGUGAAAUCCCCGGGCUCAACCUGGGAACUGCAUUUGUGACUGUAUAGCUAGAGUACGGUAGAGGGGGAUGGAAUUCCGCGUGUAGCAGUGAAAUGCGUAGAUAUGCGGAGGAACACCGAUGGCGAAGGCAAUCCCCUGGGCCUGCACUGACGCUCAUGCACGAAAGCGUGGGGAGCAAACAGG
rnacentral:rRNA from 1 species